rnacentral:tRNA from 1 species
CCCUAAAAAGUAUUAGUGUACAUUUGCCUUCCAAGCAAAAAGGCUAGCAAUAUGUUAGUUUAGGGA